CGGUGUCAACUGGCGUGUCCGCGGGACGUCCUGCCGGUGAGCUCAGCCGCCUCGUUCGCGCGAGCGUCGAGGCGGCGGCUCAAAUUCAAUCCCAUCGCGGUGCUCUUCACCGAGUGUCGAGGUGGGCCGGCACGUUUACUUUGAACAAAUUAGAGUGCUUAAAGCAGGCAAAAAUAUCGCCUGAAUACUGUGUGCAUGGAAUAAUGGAAUAGGACCUCGGUUCUAUUUUGUUGGUUUUCGGAACUCCGAGGUAAUGAUUAAUAGGAACGGAUGGGGGCAUUCGUAUUGCGACGUUAGAGGUGAAAUUCUUGGAUCGUCGCAAGACGGACGUAAGCGAAAGCAUUUGCCAAAAACGCUUUCAUUGAUCAAGAACGAAAGUUAGAGGUUCGAAGGCGAUCAGAUACCGCCCUAGUUCUAACCAUAAACGAUGCCAGCUAGCGAUCCGCCGACGUUCCUCCGAUGACUCGGCGGGCAGCUUCCGGGAAACCAAAGCUUUUGGGUUCCGGGGGAAGUAUGGUUGCAAAGCUGAAACUUAAAGGAAUUGACGGAAGGGCACCACCAGGAGUGGAGCCUGCGGCUUAAUUUGACUCAACACGGGAAACCUCACCAGGCCCGGACAUCGGAAGGAUUGACAGAUUGAGAGCUCUUUCUUGAUUCGAUGGGUGGUGGUGCAUGGCCGUUCUUAGUUGGUGGAUGUGAUCUGUCUGGUUAAUUCCGAUAACGAACGAGGCUCUAGCCUGCUAACUAGGCGUACUUUCGACAUCUCAAAGGUCGGCCGUCCCGGUCCGCGAGGGCCGCGGACGCGC
rnacentral:rRNA from 1 species